UUUCAGAUUUUUGAUAAAAACACCCUUCUUUAGGAAACAAGUCAACCAAAACACUUGCCAGGGCCCUGAGAAGGCUAAGAGUCUCGUUUGCUCCAGGGCAGCACCUGAGCAUUAAUGGCCCUGACAGGCCUUGCCUGGAGCCCCCUCAAGCACCCACUGCCCACUUCAGCUCCAGGUUGGGCCUUCAGUCCAGUUGUAGUGCUGUUGUGUUAUCUGGGUUUCCUAGCUUGACCUUGGACCUACCUGGCCUGUUGCCUUGCCAAGUGCUUCCUGGAUAGGGCCUGUUGCUGUCACCACCCUUCUCUGCUUGCUUGUGUCCAACGCUGGAGACUGCCUGGCUGAUAAGCUCACUGCCCAUCAGGUGCUGUGGCUGCCCUUUGCUCCUGGCCUCUCUAGGGAAAUAGCCUGACUCUCAGUGCACCCUAACAAUGCUGUUAAGAAAUUUUUAUACCAGUGAAACGGGUUAAGAGAAUUGUCCUGCACCUAUGGGCAACUUUCAGUCUUAACCGAGGGAGACAGUUAACUGGUAACCUCAGGGUGAAAAGCUCCAGAACUGAUUACCAAAGUUGCAAGCCAUCUAGUCCCUCUGAAAUAUGGUUGCAGGUGAAAGGUGAAUGAUAGCAAUGCAAAGCCAUUGAUCCUGUAAAGCUGUGGUGAGCCACUGACUUCUUUCUACAACAUUAGCAUUGUUUGGUUUUUUUUGCUUUGGAGAUGCUUCAUUUGCUCUGCCAGCAGUUACACUGAGCAACUGUGAGGGGUAAGAUGGAGUGCGUGGUCUUCGGGAGGAACCAAAGGAGAGCUCCAGCUCCAUGGUCAAUGAAUGAUAAACAGGCAGUCAAAGCUUGGGCACAGCACAGCUAGCAACAUAUAGAAAGAUGUAUUAGAACACAAUUCCUGCAGCAACAGCCAGAAGUGACCACCAAACUGUUGGCCAUACUUCACAGCCAUGUGGAAGUGUUUGGAGUCUUUUAGGUCUGAGGACUUAAGUCCCCAGGCCCUGGUGGAACUUGUCCAAGUUUCACACUAUAGUGGGAGCUGGAGGCUUUGGUGAGGCUAUGACACUGGUUUAGGCUGAAGAACAGCUGCUAUGUAUAGAGGGCGCAAGCCUUCCUGAGCCUUUGGCUCCUCCUAUGAAUAACUGAUUAUCUUUACAAGGCUGCUGUGAGGAUGAAUGCACCAGAACUACAGGGAUGUCCUGUUGGUACUGUUGCCAGGAAGUCACCACAGCUCUGCAGCUGAGCCCCAAAUAAUCCACUGCAUUGUCCUGUGCCUUUCUCCAAAUGAACUCAACAGUCUCCUGAGGCUGACACAAACAGAGCUGUCAAGUGCUGUCAGAAUGAGAAACCGCCAGUGGUGAAGCAAGAGGCCAGCUUGUGAACAAAUGGCUUGGAAAACUAAUAUGAAGCCACUGCAUUAGCAAAAAAACAGAGAAAGAGGGGGCUCCAGGAAAGCCACUGUCAUCCUCUGUCAGAACUUCUAUAGCAGUCUGGCGUACUCAGAAAUAUGAGGCAUAUGUCAAGCAGCAACCAACUGUCAAGUGAGGAGGUAGGUGAGGAAACCUGUUCUUCAAUAUGCUAACGUUCUCACUCACUUCCUUUUUCCAUGUCCUGUCCCAGCACCACAAUCUGAAUAACCUCGUUCUCAAACUGUUCAGUGCCAGAGGCUAAGGGAAAAUAAUAUCGGCUCAACAGUGAGCCAGCAAUGAAUUACUAUUAUAUGGCAAUUUACACUUUUAUGUUAUCUGUGACAAAGGUGAGCCAUAGAGAAAAGGGAUUCUCGUAGUUUUUUACGCUCAGAACUGGUAAAGAGUUGCACAACAAAACGUCACUUAGACUAAAGGCUUUUAAUUCUUAUUCCUUCAUAUUUUUAUAGUUGUAACCUUUGCUGACAAGCUCUGUUCCAAUGUAUUUUUGGUCAGUGGCGAUGCCCAAAAGGAAAACAGUCUGAGAAAUCUAAUUGUAAGUGCUUUCAAGAUGCUUACUGUACAUCUAUGCAUUUCUCACUGAACAGCGUCAGCAUGUUAUAAAUUCACCUCUUGGUACAACCCCAUUGAAAUACUAUAAUGCACCAGGAAUUAGUUUGGUAUAUUGUAUCUAAGUGGUUGCUAAACUCAUGGUCUGUAAGGUGUUUAAUCAUACAUUUAACAUUGUCCUGAAUCAAACUCCUGAGAGCAGUCUAAUCUCAUCCCAGCUCAAGAGAUUCUCGCUGCUAACAGGCAUUUUUUAGAAGCCAUUUCCUCACUUUUUUUUCAGUUCUUGCUAAUAACAACCAUAUUUAAACUGCUAAAAGACAUUGAGUGUGAACAAAAUCAUACAUAUUAUUUUUGUAUAACUGAAACUAGCAAGGCCAACCAAAAUUAGUCAUGCUGGGCGUCAUACGCGCUAUGUGCAAAAUAAUCUCUUUCCUGACAGUUUUGUUGUGAGACAAGAUAAACUUCUCAGAAUGCAAAACCAUGCCAACCCAGGUUCUAAACCAGAGAUGCUUCUCUCCAGCCAGGUCAGAAGCUGCACAGAAAAUCUCGCACCUGUUUAUCACCACCAGACAUCUAAUUUCAAUACACAAAGCAGUGAAGUAAAGAUCAUGCAAUAUACAAAUGCAGUGAUAAAGUAUAAGGCUAUAAGGAGAUAACUGUCAAAUGCCUAAGGAGCAGGUCUCAUGGUACUCCUGCUAUUUGAUUCCAUUCUCUUUUGAUUAUUCAGUUUUCUCCAUUUUUUUUAUGACAGAUUUUUUUCCUAUUAAGAAGAGAAUCUAUUUUCCUCCACGUAUUUUUCUAAACAAAGGAUUUUACAAAAGCACCUUAAGCUAUGGCUCAAGUUGUGACUCUGCUCUUGACAGCAAUUGGACAGAGAGCCAAAGAGAUGUGAGGGGAUGGAUGGAGCCUGGAUGGAGAACGUCAGUAUCCCUCAAAUGACUGAAUACCAUUGAAAUCCCACAUUUUUUAGGCAUUGUCAAAACUUUCAGGUUUGGGUUUCUCAGUCAAAAAUAGGAAGUGAUCACUGCAAACAAAUCAUUCUCACAAGGCAUACAAUUGCGCUGAAAAAGUAGUUUUCUCUAGUAUGAAUGAUUACCUUUUUCAUCCAGCACCAGCAGCCCCAGAAGUAUUCUGUAUCAUGUUCCACACAGAACCAAGAAGCAUGAAUAUCUUCAUGGAGACAUUCUUUUGACUACAGUUGUCUUAGGUCUGCACAGGGAAAGGCACGUAGGCCUUUAAUGCUACUUAUGCUUAUUUAACUAUCAGAACUGUUAUUAGUGGAUUUGACCCCGUUUCUCCACUUUUCCUAAAGCUGCUGUAUGGAGCCAGGCAGCACUUCUGUAGGUGUUAAAGCAUUCAUAAAUGCAGUUAAGAAAGCUAACUACUUCUUGUGCUUGCUAAAGAAUGUCCCAUCAAAGUAAAAAUAUAAACAAAGUUUUCUUUCUCUUUUUAUGUUUGUAGACAAAGGGUCAGUCUCAGCUGGUGAAGGCUGACUUCAGCUGUGUUGGGCUGUCAGUGCAACUUCUACAAUCUGAUCCACUAUUUCUCUACUGUUAGCUCAGCCCACCCAGAUGGGACAGAGCCUGGUCACUGUUUCUGACUUUGGGAGCUUAUGCCUCAUUCCUAGACUUAGGUUUCAGUCUUCUGUCCUGUUCUGUGACCAGAAUUCAGAGCCUGAGACCUCCCAGACCAUCACACAAAUUUCUCUUAGCACUACUAAGGCUUUGAGAGGCUUGAACUUCUAAUUCAACCGGGCUGGAAAAACACAGAUAGAAAGAACACAGGCUUUUACAGUAGAAAUUUUAUUUCUAAAGCACCUGGCUAUAUAGACCUUGGAAAGCAACUUAAGACCAGAUGCAUAGUUCCCUUGAUCCCAACUUACCACUUCUGUAAGUCUAAAGUUUUACCAUUAUUUUUUGAUAAUUCCUUCUACACCUUUUCUCUUGCAAGCCACUGUGUGUGGCAGUGAUUGACCACACUGCAACAUUCAUCCCAUCAGUGAAUUCCCCAUCUCUCUUCCAUGUUACUCACUGAGACUCCACUCCUAGAGUCAGUGUGCCCCAACUGUGGUCUCUUGCACAGAAAAUAUCCUAGUGAAUAGUGAUGGGCUGGGUGCACAGAGCUGGUGUCCCCAUCAUCUCUGACGUUUUUACUGUGAUGGUCCUUUGGAGGCUAAUUUUACUCUGCUGAGCAACUCACUAGAAUUGCACUACUACUGACUGCAGACCUUGUUGUUCUUUUAUUUUUUUUUCUUUUUUCCUUUUCUUUUUUGACAUUUGGAAUUAGAAAGCAUCGGUGAAAUAAUAAUAAUCUCUUAGAGCCACACAGGUGCCAAGUAGAUAUUCAGGGUGUGUUCAGGUCACUUUGCACCUCUAAAGUGUGUAGCAAGGAUCAGGUUUUGAAGCCGAUAUUUUUAUCAGGGCAGAUAAAGCCACGAAGUGUAAAAGUAAUGCUGAAAAAAAACGACCUAGAUAUUCUAGUUGAAUGACGAUGGAUAUUUUUUUAAGGUAUCUGUAAUGCUCUGUGUUAUUCUUCAUGCCAGGGCCAAUCAUUACCAUCAUGCUCUCAAAAGAUGGAACUCUGUAUUGUUGAACGUACACCCAAACUGACAGUCCAGAGUGCGAACUGCCCCACUGAUUUCAGAGAGGUAGCUACUGUGCUCCAGAAAGCAAUUUUCUUCCAAAUCUUUGGAUAGCCAAGAAAGGGUCCAUUUUUGUGUCCCUGAGGGACCCUCAUUGAAAGGUGCCUUAUCCAAUGGAAACUAUGACAAAAUCUGGUCGGAACAAAAACCACCUUUUCCAUCAGAAAAAAAAAAAUUAACAAGCUGAAUGAAAUUAUCCAAAUCAACCUUUUACACCAUUUCUUUUUCUAAGACAUUUAAAACAGUGGACUGUGAGAAUCAGUACUUUGCAGAAGCAGGUUUGUUACGCGCUAGCUGUUAACAUGACACAAGUGGAGAGAAAGAGCAUAUUCUGAAAAGUAAUCAGUUUUCAGGUUUGAAUACAUAGUAGUAGCAUUCUUUACUUUUUCAGAAUUGUAUCUUUUAUCCGAAUAGUUCAAAGCAUUCCUCAAAUAAUUUAUUACAUCUCACCACGUUCUCUCUGAGGCAUUUAAAUAUUACUUUCUUCAUUGUGGAAGACGGAAAAAUGGAGAAAUCAGAAAAUGAAAUGACUUUCCUAAGACCACACAGCGGGUCAGAAUCAGAGUGAAGAAAAGAAGCUUGAAGUGAUGACUUCUGCUCUACUGUUCCAAGCAGUGGAUAAUACAGUUCGUCUGUGACAUUCCCUGUACUGAGAGGUGAUAGUUUCCUAAAGAUCUGCUAUAAUUCAACAUGGAAGUUACUGGGACAGAUGCGUCAAUUACUGGGUGAAAUUCUGUGACCUAGCUAUUCAAAGGUCAGACUAGAUGGUCAGAAAGCUCUUGUCUAGUCUUAAAAUGUAAGUGUCGUUACCACUGUACAAACUUACUGGCCCCUUCUCUCUUUCCAACAAAAAUCGGCAAUUAGUCUUGUUUAAAAGCUUGCAAUGAAACUGCAUUUUUCAAUUCCAAGGCAUAUUAUGGCAGAGGUUGGCAAAAAUAGCUUGAAAAACCCUGAAAAAUUGUCAGGUUGAAUCAAUCAAAUCCAUUUUUAAUUUUACUUUGACAAAAAUUCACACUGGGGCUGACAGCUCCUUGUAAAAACAACUUUGCUCACUGCAGUUUGAAACACACAUGCUAUAAACCCUGAGAACGGGAUUUAUAAUAGAAGCCUGGCAGUCUCCUAACUCAAGCGGUAUUAUCACCAUGUGUGUGACAAUAAUAUAUUAGGACCAUACUUCAGAGCUCCUUCAUUAGAUCCUGACAUAUGGAGGAGAAAGGAGAGCCUGAAAACUGGGGAGGACAUAGAGUGCAGCCUCAGCUGUGCAUAUUUAUCAUCUAAAUCGAGUGAAGGCUAUUUAUUGACUUAUUGAUUCUAAUUCAAAAUUAGAACUUAAUUAAAAGUUUAGUUCAUUACCACACAGUUACAUGGCCCUCAAGACAUUUCCAGGCUAGUAAAGUACAUACUUAAUCAUGUGGUAUAUUGGGAAGGCUGGAUCUUCAGUUGUUAUAAAUCAGACAUUAGUAGUGCCAUGCUAAUUUACACCAUCUGGGGACAGGGCCUAUUAGUUUUCUGCGCAGGAGGCAGUUGUUAUUGUUUUAAAUGAAGGAGCUAAAAUGUAAUGUUGUCCUUUGCUGAGCAAUAGCAUAUGUUAACUUCCCACCACAAGGCAAGUAGCAGUGAGAAAUUUAGUCUCAGUGCCAUGUAUACUACAUACACUUACCAGACUCAGAACAGAAGCGCUCAGAAAUAGCAUAAAGGACCGUCUGCCAAAACUUUUAAUACCAAGCCCUGGAGAAGCUGUCCUGCCUUGGAAACCCAUUGUAGUGACUGCUAAGAGAGGUUGUAGCAGAGAGCAAACUUUCCUGCCAGUUCCUCCUCAGAACCACCACUGUGCACAUGUCAGGAUGCAGGCAACAUCGACACAAAGAUGCUUUUCAAGCUCUGAUGUUCUUUCUGGUUCUUGAGCUCCCUAAGCUCCAACCUCACGGCUGGUUGUGCCUUUUUCCCUCUGCACAGUUAGUGGAAUACUUUGUUUUUGUAAACUUGGCUUCUGAGGACAAGAUUCUCUGAAUGCUGCCCAUUUAGGAUUUGUCACAGCACAAGUUCAGAGUCCUGGCUAUUUUUGCAGCUCAGUGCACGUGUGCUGGUGUGAGCAGUGUGGUAGCAGCAACAGAGCCACACACACCAAGCCUGAAGUGACAAAGCUUUUGAAAACUGGUACACUGAGGACAAGGAGUAGCCACGUAAGAGAAUUGACUGGGGAACAGGCAUUUUAAUAGCUGUGUACUGGGUGCACCUGCUGCUACUCAGUGCUCAACCAAAUAGUAUUUCCCAACUAUUAAUCAAGCGUAUCCCAGAGCUGCUGAGGAGGAACUGGUUUUCCACAAUGCCAGAUGACCAUGAUGGCUGCUCUUCACUGCUGUCUUCCACAUUUAUGGAAUGUAGAGACACAGGCUGAUGUGGCCUCUGCUACCUUUGGUUACAGUUUCUCCAGCUGGCAAGAUCCCGUGCUUUGUCCUUUACAGUUUGGUUAAUAGUUUGUGCCUUUCUAGCACUUAGAGCUAUCACACUGAUUUCGUGGCAGUGGCUGCUUGAAACAGCUGAAAUGUCCUGCUGUCUCACAUCCCACCUACUGCUACAUGAUUUGCUGCUGUUUUUCUCUCCUUGUUAGGACCUAGGGUCUAUUUUAAUACGUUGAGAUUAAGCCCCCUUUUUGUGUGCGGCCAGUAUAUAUUCCUGGAAUGGACAGAGCCGUAAGGAAGGAUAGAAGAGUUUGCCUAGCAGCCAUGGUCUAUGCUGCAGCUUGUAGAGUAGAGUCAUUUUCAUUUUCCUUCUUUGCUUCUAGUGUGUUUGUUUUUUCCAUUCAAGGAAAAACAAAAAAGAUCAUGUUUUUGUCUAGUUCCCUUGCAGAACUUUUGACAUCUAAGGGAGAAUUUCUCUGACACCUUAUGAAUCCCACUGAAGCCUGAAAUAGAGCAGUUCAUGGCUAGCAGAGAUCUUUAUAAAACUGCCAUCAGUAGGAUUGUUAACAGCAAAGCAACCAAGCAGUGUAUCACUGCUUUUCAGGCUUGCAGAAACUGGUCUGACAGGGAAGAGCCCAUGCUAGGUAAAUUUUACAUUGAUUUCAGAUAGUGUCCUAGUAGUGAUGGUAACAAAACCUUGCAACAAUAGACCAAGGGGGCAGCGUGAUUAACAUCACUUGGAGAAUUUAGGAGGCAGUUUGGCUAUCUUUCCAAAAGAUAUUCUUUCAAACUGGCUUUGGCCUGAAUGGUCCCUUCUGGCCAAGGAGUCUGUCCAGAAUGUAUCAUUCAUUCAGCUCUUUCCUUCAUAUGUAACAGGCCGAGUAAGUCCUCAGAAUGAUCAUCAUUUGCAUAAAGAUAAUGGUUGUAAUAAAAGCUUGUGCUUCAGGGGUUUAGCUGGGUAACCACUGGGGUCAGGAAAGAUUUUUUUUCUUCCACUAUACAAUUAGCCAGAUGUACUCCGGGUUAGUGUUUGCUUAGCUCCUCUGAAGCACUGGAAAUUGGCUGUGCCUGGAGACUGACUUCUCCCUGGAGAACCUCAUGGUGGCUGGGCUCAUCCUGGGCCUCCUCUCCAGUACUCAGGGGGGAAGUGUCUGGCUGGGAAUAUCUAGAUCAGAUAACCAGCUGUCUCCUUUAGCCUCCACCUCCGCUGCAUUGAUACGGCCUGUGGAUGUGUAGCCACCUUCCCCCCAGCUCACCUUCAGGCACUCGGACAGAAGGGCUGCAGGUGCGUAAGCCCUGGCACAACAGGGAGAGCUCGCAGCAGCCCGGGGAGCUGUGUGGCUCCAAGCACACACUGUGAGCACCCCGCUGGCAGUUCCCAGCCGGUGUGCACGAGGAGAAGGGAGAAGGGUGCACAGCUUGCAGCACCGUGGUUGCUCCCUUUUAUUUUGGAGCAGUGAAGGCAGACUGUGAAACCGGAGGAAAUGAGAGGUGAAGGUAACAUGGCAGUCUCGUGCUUUCUUUCAGGGUGCCUUUCAGGCAUCUAACCUCUGUUAAUUCAUGUGUGCAACUCGCUUGUGUCAGAUGAAUUCCUACCUUGUAAGUGCUGAAAACAACCUGUAUUGUUCAGAUGCUUAGAAAAUAGUAAUCUCUGGGCUGAAUUUUACCCAUGCAAGCAAAUAGUUCAGCGUAAAGAAUAAAUGCCGCAACAGAUCCUUAGGCAAUACAAAAUAGAUUUGAUACUGCUUCUUUCUUUGCCUCCAGUGAUUUUAAUGGAGCAGGAAGAAGCCUAAUGAGAUUUGCCAGGAGGCAUUACUGAGAUCUGGUGGCUGUGGCAGCUGAGUGCUGCAUAAAAUGUGCAACUGUUCAUAUGCUGCAGAGCACUUGAGUUGAGUCAUUGCCCUUUUACUAUGGUUCCUUUGGCAAUAAAACUUCCAUCUCUGUGACAAAGUAGUCACAGUGAUUUAAUACACGUGCAUUUUCUAAUACAGGGCUCCUGCAGCUCAGGAAUGGGUCAUAAUCCUGCAGCCACAAUUGCACCUAUUUCCAUUAUUGUAAACAAUUGUUUUGGUUUUAGCGAAGCCGUUCAGAGGAGUGUGUCUGCUGUUAAUCGUGCCCAGUGCUGGAAAGUAUGACUUUCAAGCACUUUUUACUCAAAGCGUACCUUAUUAUGGUUACCCUACUGCAUUGUUUCUUGAGUAUUAAUAGACUUUGGUCAGUGAGUUAAUUUUUUUUCCCUUUGUUGUAGCUUUUCUCUGCUAGUUUUACUAGGAUCUCCCAUGAAGUUGGAUCUUAGUGGUAUUUUCAGUUGUUGAAGCCAAGGCUAGGGCAGUACGCCUAAGGUACCUAAAUUCACGGAACACCUUGGCGCAGAACAAGGUCUGAUUUGCAGUCCUCCUUUCUUCUUGCUACACACUGGCAAUAUGGUUGAAAAAGGGAUUAAUUUAUGUUUAACUGAAAAUCUGUCUUGUGUAGGGUGGAAGGCAUCACAUUUCUUGGAACAGAGUGCCAAAAGAUGAAUGCCUGCUCUGAGGAACUUCCUUUGAGCCACUCCGUCAGCAUUUUCAUGCGUUGUUCUGCCAUGUACUUAGAGUACUGUUUUUUCACCCGUAGUCCUAAGGAAUGCUGGAUUUGUCACAUUUGAUUUUUACUUUUUUUCCCCCUCUUUAUUUGGAAUUAAUAGCAGCACUGCUUGGGAAUUUUCAAAAUCCAAGCAAACAGUUUUUUCACAAAUAUUCUGCCAAAGACUGCUUGUUUUCAACCCUCCCGCAGUGCGCUAAAAGUCUGUGGAACAUCUUUUCACUAUUAAAAUUCAUGAAGUUUAAUUGUACUUCGUGUUUUGGAUGUUUACCAGUUUCUUCAGUCCCUUACUGGACCUUGAUUUAUUUAUUUUUUUUAGUUUAAUUUAUUAUUUUUUGAAGUGACAUCUUAUAAUCUUGUUUUUUUUUCUUUUCAGGAAAGCAGGGCACCUGAUUUACCCAAAAAGGGACUUCCUUUAGAACUCUGUCACCUCUCAGUGACUUAGGCGUGCAGAUUUUUCCCCCUCCUUCUUGAUGGGACCAGACACUCCAGCUACAAGCCCAUUUUAUUUAACCACAGUAAUUCAAAUAGAUAUCGAUUCUCAGACCUGCUCUGCCUAGCGAAUCUGUUAUAUUCUCAGUGACGUUCUGGUGUGUGGCACUGGGACGAGCACUUGCUUAGCAGCAGCCAAUAUGUCAGUUUGGGGAUCACACGCCUCCUUUUAGAGAAACCUCACAAAAAGGGGAAAGGUAGUUUAGGAUAUAUUGACUGUUAGGUAUGAAGCGUUGCCUUUAGAACAUACUCGCAUCUACUUAACACUACACUGGUUAUAAUUCCUUUUUAACAAAAAAUUUAAGCUGAUGUACAAUCCGGUCCUAAAACGAAUUCCUGCUUUUCGAAGCAGUGCCACCAUUUUCCUUAGUGAACCACACUCACUGUUAAAAUUCCGAUCAGAGUUGCAGCUACCGCUUUCUGCAAGGUCUGAAUUUGUUUGCCCCGCUAUCCGAGCACAUCCGUAAACACAGGGGACAGUUAGAAUUAGUAAAAGGACAAUGGUUACGCUUUGAUCAGGGCGAAAGCAAGAGGGGGGAGGCUUUUGUUUUGGAUUAUUUUUUCCUCCAUGACUGUACAGUUUAUUAGCACCGGGUUAAACAAACUAAUGGGCGCAAAUUAUAACAAAAUAAUGGCAGUGGUCUGUAGAGCCACUAUGAAACAACUCCCCCUUCCCUCCACCCCCUUUUUAACCUUUCAUCUUAGUCUCAUUCUUAUUUGUGGACUACCCCUUUGCCCUCCUCUUCCCCUUUGCUUGAAAAAAUAAGCAGAAAAUACAGUUUACAUUAUGCCUGUACACACUUCUGGUUUUUUUGAUGCAUCCCCAAAGGAAAGAGGAUAAAUAAAUACACAUUUUUUAAUAGUUGUAGAGUAUUUGUUUAGCGCUGGCUAACUCCCCAAUAACUUUCAGAAGAUCAUACAGGCAAAUCUAAUUUUCUAGCUAAGUUAAGUCUCUCUUGGGAAUUUUGGUGGCUGCCUGCAAACGCUUUCCUUGAAUCAGCAGUAUCAGCAAAGAUUCACUAUGUCGCUAAAAUAUAUAAUGUAAAAAGUGAAGGAAAAUAUGGAAGAAGGUUGAGAAAGCAGGAGGAGAUGGAAAAGGGAAGUACUAUAAAGGGAAGGGCAUCUAUAAAGACAGAGGGGUCUAAGCCUUUUACAAUAGAGGCAGUCUGAAAUAACCAUGGUUUCUUCUUUGAAUCGUGAGAAUAGCUAUUUUCUUGUUUAAAAGCUUAAAGAGCUAUUAAGUUGGGCAAAUCACUGGUAAAACAGCUGGAAAUGUAAAUAGCAAUUUAAACAGUCCAUUGCCCCUCAAUCCAAAUGUGGAAUGUGCAGAUCUACUUCAAAAAAGUUCCUCUGGUUUUAUUAUAUUGUCAACGGUAAGAGGAUUGAGUAGGCACCCUUUCUCAGUGGGCUGAAUGGAGACGGUGUGCUUUAUUUAGAAAAUCCACGUUUAAAAAAAAUUUUUCCUCCUUUUUCUCCCUUUUUCCCCCCUUUUCUCCUGUUUUCCUUUUUGAAAAUUUCUUUCUUUUUCUCAUUUUUCUCUCUCUCUUUCUUUCUUUCUUUCCUCUUUUUCUUUUUCUUUUUUUUUUUUUUUUUCCCAAGUGAGCAGACGGGUCUCUAAUUUUCACACCAUUCUCCCUUAGAGACCUCCUUCAAUUGCACCAUUCUUUCAUUAUGUGGAACUAAUGAAGUGCUCUGCAACCUUUAGGUCUCCAAAGAAUCCAUUGCUCUAGGAAUAUAGUCCUUAAAUAAAACAUGUUUCAUUGGCUGACUUCAAAACACUAUUCUUAUGGGGGGGUCGAGGGGGAUAAAUAAUUGUCCUGAAAUCACUGUGUGAAAAAAAGAAGAAAUUACGUCAGACAAUGCUUUUAAUGUAUAGUUACAGUCAAAGGAUACAUUCAGCAAUGUCAGUUUUGGUUCUUUUCCUAGUAAGUUGCCAAAAAGCAGAAUAUAAUCUUUAAGAGUCCCAAAUAACACAGUUUUUUUAAUGCCUGUCUUUUCAGUGCCUGUGUUCUAUUGAGUAACUACUGGGUUUUGUGGUGCACAAAAUAAUGCAAUGCCAGAUCAAUAAGACUAAUAAUUCAGCAGCUGAGUUUGAAAUCUGGCUGCCUUGGGUGUCUUAAGAAUAACACCUCACAUUUUAUAUGUUGCUUUUUAUCUUCAAAGUACUCAGCAAACACUAACUCGGUGAUGCGGCAUGUUUAUUCAGCUUGUGAAAGCAUAGCUCUGUAUUAUCUGUGAGGUAUCAGAUGCCUUGUUCUCCUGUGGAUAUUUGCCGUUGCAAAUGCAGCUUAUUUUUGUUUUCCAUUAUGGACCUUGUAGAAGACAGCUAUUUCAAAUUUGUCAAAGUCUCAUCUCUUCCUAAGCAGUCUUUGCCCUCUGGCAUUUUUAAUUGAUUUGCCUUUCUUCUUUAAAGCUUUUAAUUGGCCUGAGCCCUGUUUUCCUUCCCCCAUCCUGAAACCAGCACGUUUAAACUGAAUAUGCUUUCUUGGAAUAUCUUCAUCUGCAAAAUCUGUUUUUAAAUUAAAGUAUAAUAGUUAAAUAAAAAUAAAAAGAAGAGUGGAAGCAGGGGGAAAGGGAGGUACAUUAGAUGUAAGAUUGCUUAUAUAUGUCCAGCUUGUGUCUGAAACCAGCAAAGAAAUGUAAAUGCUUCUUUUUUUAAAAACAAUUAGUAUUCAUUUCCUUUGGUGUUGCUUAUCUUUUACUUAGUUUUAUUUGGUGCUUGAUCUAAUUUGUAGCAUAUUGGAUUUUGGCUUUGGGAAACUGAAAUAGCACUAUCAGCGUGAUUAUUGUUAUAAUAGUGGCAUGAGAGAUUUGCUGGCUUAAUUUCAGUGAAAACUAGAACAAACUGUAAUGUCUGUCUUUGUCAGUAAAACAAUUUAUAUUUCUAGAAACUGUUGUAAUCAUCUAUUUUAAGUGAAAAGAUUUCUUGGAGCACUAUUCUACAAAACCCAGGGCUUAUCCCAAAUGUCUAGUCUAUAAAUAACAUAUUUAAGCUCCAUUGAACAGAUUAGAAAACAAAACAGUGCUUAAUGAAUGUGGAAGCUUCAUUUCUUGGGCGACUAAGGAUAAGUUACUGUCUUUAAUGAGAUCCCCCUUUAUCUUGGUAGGGCUGUGUUUUGCAGAACUAAACGCUUUGGAGCAGGAGUCAAGAAUAUGGACUAAGUUUUGCCAAGGUCAUUAGUAGCAAUGGCUGCCUAAUUGUGGACCCUCUCAAGUGACCUGAUUUCAAACAGUCGCAGAGUUUGCAGUUACUGCAUUAAGCCACUCUAAGAAGUUGUAUAUAAUGGAGAUACCUGAAGUCCCUUUGAAAAUCUCAGUUCUAAUUCUGGAUUUCCAAACUUCCCAUGUGAACUUAAGAAAAUCACUCAUCCUACCUGGAUAUUCUUUUCCUUACCUUUACCAGGAGAGGGUAAUGCUCCCAUUUUCUGUGUUAUGAGACCUAAUUCAUGAAUAUUUAUUGAUGUCUUUGUACAAUACUAGCCUCAUAAUUAUUUUUGAAAUUGCACAUUGGGAACCUGCUGGAGUUUCCAUCAAUUGGUACAGAAAUCAUUCUUUAACUCUGUUCUCUCAGUGCCUUUUGGGGAGUAGCAUCUGUGUAGCCUUAGUACUAGAUACAGAGUCCCUGUUGCACUUUCUUCCCAGAACAGCAUGUGUAUUUCCAUGGCCAGCAAGCAAUGAGAGCACAAAAUCAUAGAAUCAUAGAAUCAUCAUAGAAUGGCUUGG